CUUUUAAAGGAUAUUAGAUAAUCCAUUGAUCUUAGGAGUCAAAAACUCUUGGUGCAACUCCAAGUAAAAGU
rnacentral:tRNA from 1 species